rnacentral:lncRNA from 1 species
UGAAAAUGAAGGAGUGAUGUGAAGAUUUGAGAAAAGAGUAAAAAGACUGUUCCACCUAGGGAACAACAAUGCAAAGUCGAUGAGCUUCAUAUUGGAUUGUUGCCUUCGCUUGAGCAUUGACACCUUCAAGGCAACCAAAAGCCCUAUAACCCAAGAAGUGCAUAUUAAAGAGUGGGCGUGUGGCAAAAUUAGUUUAAUCAAGCAAUGAGAUUGUUAAGAUUAUGGACAAAGUGACAGUUUCCUUAGCCAGAAGUUUUCUUUCCACCCCUUUGUCCUCUAUCCAAAAAGAAAAAGUCAACCUAAUAAAGAGGCGAAUUGGUUCUACAGGUUACAAGGAAGUGGCAAGGGUCAUGUCUAGGAUUCUAAAAGGGUAUUUUCAAAUGUAUUUGAUUGUGCUUAAGCACAAGAAGGUUUGCUCAUGCGCCUUCAGAGUAAAGCUGAGCAAAGAUAACAUCCUUGUUAUUCUGGGCAGCUAAUUACUGUCAGUAAUUGUUGUUUGUGAUGAACAAGAUGCGGGAUAAAGGCAGGCUGGGGUGGGGGUGCUGGGAGGAGAGUUCGCUAGGCUUUGAACCACAGCCAGCCCUGGGAGGCUGAUUCGGCAGAGCCGCAGGAGGGCUCCUUUGGGGACACAUUCAGAAAAGCCCCAAAGGGCUAUUGGAGGAAAGCAUGUGGAUCUACACAUUUUCUGGCACUGGCAAAGAUGAGGAAAAUGAGGAACAAGUCCACUCAGCUACUAAUUCGUGGAGAACAAGAAUCACGUCCAGUCUGAUUCCAAGAUCUACACUCAUCCUAUCCAUAUUAUGCUGCCUUCUCAGGAUAGCAAGUAGUUUGGCUCCUUAAGUGACACUGGAUAUCUUUUUUAAAGAACCCAUGUGUUUGUUUAUGACAUGACUCAAUCUUGCUGGUGAUCUGGAAGGUCUGGUGCCUACUCAUGGAUUCUUUGAAUAAGCCCCAUGUUCUUGCUACUGAAUAAACAUGAUGUAUACCCCAUGUUAUCAAGAGGAUUCAUAGAUGAACAUGUGCUGGGUGCCUCUAAAGAAAGUAGAUCAACAAGUUUUUUUCUUUUGGUGAAGAGCAGAUGGGCUCAAAAUAAACCUCUGGUUCAUCAUACACGCUCAGACAACCCUCCAGGAAAGGGAGGUCAGGAAAGGGAGGUUUUUGCCCUCCUUUGCAAGGUCUGUCCUGAGAUGUCAUUGUCCGGGCUUGGGAAGUACAGUCUCUGUCUGCCACACCAGGAAUGCCGUCAGCUUGAGAGGCAUGAGCCAGGAUCCAGCCUUAGAGAGCACUGCCAUCUCCUGGAAAACCCUCUAUACAUGAGGCCUGCUGUCUUCGCUCCUCCAACGCCACAAAUCAGAAAACAAGGCCUUGGUCACGGCCCUCUAUCUUUAGCACCAAAGGUCUGGGUACACAGAACCUUCAUCUUCUGCCCCUUCAAAUUGGAACACGCCAAUUCCUGAAGGAAAUGAAAAGAUGCAACUUGUCUCCCGAUAGAUUGAGUGAAUUACUAUCAGCAAACAAAUGAUAGUGGGAAAGAAAAGCUAUUAAUAAGAAGCAAUGAUGGAAGAAUAAGAAACGGGACAGAGAAAGAAUUGGCAACAAUAAUCCAUUACCCAGUGUUGACUAUUUACAGAAUAUUUUACUCAUAUUUUACAUCACCAUUACAGAGUAAAUGAAGAGAAUGUCUCAUUUUGUCUUCUGUCUAUAUUGGCAAGGGUCAAAAGUGUUGAGCCUCAAAGUCACUUUUAAGUAGUGAUUUGGGAGGUAUGCCCCCUUGUAGUAGCAUGCUUACCUUUAGAUAAGUCAGAAACACUGUACUCUGCUGGAAAAAAUAUAAGGGCCAGAAACAUCAGGGUCUGACCUCAAGAGAAGCAGCAGGAGAGCAAAGCCAACAUUGAUGAACCAGAUGAAGACAGAAAGAAAUGGGACAAUGGCUUAAAGUGAUCCAUGAAAACUAAUGAGAUUGGAAUAAAAUAAAAUUGGGUAAAGAGUGGAUGACUGAA